AGCAUAGAGAGCGCUCAGGUUCUGUUGGGUCAGGUGAGUGCAACAAAGAGUGGUAUGGCCAGAGGCCCCUCUGCUGGCUUCCUGACUCCAUUCUGAAGGAUUCCUUUUACUGAUUUUUCAGGACCUCAAAGGGGCCUUGGGAUGCCUUGAAAAUGGCUCAAGAGAAAAGCAGCAACUAUGUUAUUGCUGAGUAGGGGAGAUGGAGGAUGUGCUUCUGAAUAUGGGGAAACAGAGGACAGAAAGCACCAACAAGAAGAGACAGCUAUUGUUCAGAUUUGACUUGGAGAAUCAGGGUUCUUAACUAGGAGUACAUGAAGAUAUAGAGAUAUUAAGAAGCUUACUCAAGAUUACACAUGAUGGAAAUAGCUGAGCCAGAACUCAGAUCUAGAUAGUCUGGCUCCAGACGAAGGCCCCAAAAUCUGCCAAAAGCCUCCAAUAAAAUGGAGGUAAACAUUAUUUUUGUGCUCCUGAUUGCCACCAGCUAUUUGAGACCACAUUGUCCACCAGUUUCCUCAUUGAUGUGGAAGCUGGAAUUCCCAGAAAGAUCACAAAAGGUAAAAAUAGGUAAAUAACUAUUCGUAUAUAUUGUUUAUUCAACUAUUGAAAGCGAAUUGCCAAAAGUGAACGACAGCACAUGUGAUUCAAGAAUAUUUUCAGGGGCGCCUGGAUGACUCAAUCGAUUAAUUGUUCAACUCAUGAUUUCAGCUCAGGUCACAAUCCCAGAGUUGGCUGCGAGUUUGAGUCCAGGUUUGCGCUCUGAGCUCAGUCCACUUGAGAUUCUGCUUAAGAUUCCUCUGCCCCUCCCAUGGCUUGUGGGUGCUCUGUCUCUGAUCUCUCUCUCUCUCUGUUUCUCUCUCUCAAAUAAAUAAAUAAAAUCUUUUUUUAAAAAAAAUAUUUUCAGAUCAAACUAGUUUAGAAUAAAUGCAUUGAGGUCCCCAAUGUUCAGGGUUCAGUAUUUCUGGGAGAAUAACAAGUAAGCCAAAAGGAACUUGGGCCAGAACCUGCUUCAUUCACCUUUUCCGGUGUGUCUCCCUGACCCAGCAUUUGUAGAGUCUCAAUACAAAAUAAACCAAAUGAAUUUUUUGGUAAUUGUGCCUGGGUUCUAGACCAGAUCUUGCAACUUAGUAUCUAUGAGACAUUGAGCAAGCUAUUUACACAUCCACAGGCUCAAUUUACAGAGCUGUGACAUAGAAACAGUAAUACUGUCUGCCUCACAGAGCUGUUGAGGAUGAUAAAAUAAUGCAUGGGGUGCACAAACCACAUUUUCUGGAACCCAAAGCAUUGUUAUCUCCUCCCCCUUUUCCUAAUCAUGUCAGAUUCUUUUUUUUUAAGAUUUAUUUAUUUAUGAUAGACAGAGAGAGAGAGAGAGGCAGAGACACAGGCAGAGGGAGAAGCAGGCUCCAUGCUGGGAGCCUGAUGCGGGACUCAAUCCUGGGACCCCAGGAUCUCGCCCUGGGCCAAAGGCAGGCACCAAACCACUGAGCCACCCAGGGAUCCCCUCAUGUCACAUUCUUAUUCAAGAAAACAGAUUGUUUCUCUGAGCCCUAGGAUGGAUGCAAGAGCAACCAACCAGGUACUUUCACUGGACAUGUUGAAUCCUGAGUGGUUUGAUGCAAGGCAGAAGCAUGCUAACCAAAGGGUUGCUUGUGAGAGAAUGCUGCUGCACUUCUUACUUCCUGGAUCUCCAGAACCUUCCUGAGAUACUGUCCGUCCCCAAGACUGGUUCUAAGGUCUCUUCCACCACAUUGAACUUGUUACUUAAAACACCCAGAGAGUUGCUAACAACCAAUAAGCUUCACUGAUGAAGUCCCUUUACAUGAAAGCAGUACAUUUGAUAUUCAUCCAUAUGACAUUUACUUGAUUUGUGCACAUGUUCAAGAAUUCCACUCAUGUAGUCAUUUAUUCGAACCUUGUUUUAGCUCUGCCAUUUACUGAGCUAUGCCAUUUGCCUGACUCAGGCAUAGGAACCUAAAUCUCAGCCUCUUUCUCUGUAAAAAGUUGUUUGUAGGAUUUCUGGCUAUAUGAAUAUAUUUAAUUUUUAACUACCAUGGCAAAUAAUAUUAACUUGAGCUUCCAUAUUUGGGAGAGAUAUGGCUUUUGUUUGAAAAAUAAUGCAAAGGAGAAUAAUUAAUGUUUAGUUUUGGUUUCUCAAAAAUAGAACUAUGAAACAAAGUUUUUUUUCUUUUCCCUUCUUUAUCUCAUUAGAAACCAAACCUGGGGUGCAGGUGUUCUGGCUUUCCACU